rnacentral:rRNA from 1 species
GUGGGGAAUAUUGCACAAUGGGCGCAAGCCUGAUGCAGCAACGCCGCGUGAGGGAUGACGGCCUUCGGGUUGUAAACCUCUUUUAGUAGGGAAGAAGCGUAAGUGACGGUACCUGCAGAAAAAGCACCGGCUAACUACGUGCCAGCAGCCGCGGUAAUACGUAGGGUGCAAGCGUUGUCCGGAAUUAUUGGGCGUAAAGAGCUCGUAGGCGGCUUGUCGCGUCUGCUGUGAAAACCCGAGGCUCAACCUCGGGCUUGCAGUGGGUACGGGCAGGCUAGAGUGCGGUAGGGGAGAUUGGAAUUCCUGGUGUAGCGGUGGAAUGCGCAGAUAUCAGGAGGAACACCGAUGGCGAAGGCAGAUCUCUGGGCCGUAACUGACGCUGAGGAGCGAAAGCAUGGGGAGCGAACAGGAUUAGAUACCCGAGUAGUCC